GACGAACGCUGGCGGCGUGCUUAACACAUGCAAGUCGAACGGAAAGGCCCUGCUUUUGUGGGGUGCUCGAGUGGCGAACGGGUGAGUAACACGUGAGUAACCUGCCCUUGACUUUGGGAUAACUUCAGGAAACUGGGGCUAAUACAGGAUAGGAGCUCCUGCUGCAUGGUGGGGGUUGGAAAGUUUCGGCGGUUGGGGAUGGACUCGCGGCUUAUCAGCUUGUUGGUGGGGUAGUGGCUUACCAAGGCUUUGACGGGUAGCCGGCCUGAGAGGGUGACCGGCCACAUUGGGACUGAGGUACGGCCCAGACUCCUACGGGAGGCAGCAGUGGGGAAUAUUGCACAAUGGGCGGAAGCCUGAUGCAGCAACGCCGCGUGCGGGAUGACGGCCUUCGGGUUGUAAACCGCUUUCGCCUGUGACGAAGCGUGAGUGACGGUAAUGGGUAAAGAAGCACCGGCUAACUACGUG
rnacentral:rRNA from 1 species